GGUCUGAUGAGUUGGUUUUGCUUGUGUGUGAGGAGGCAUGUUGUGGUUAACAUCGAGUCAGGGUGCCUACCUUUGUAUUUGAAUCUGUGAGAUAUGGACCGUCAACCGCCAUGACCAUGAUCAACGCGUCCUCGGCCUCCCAGACGAGGAUGGAAUGAGCAGGGCAAGAGAAGAGGAGGGAGCAGGCCGACGCCCGACGGCGACCUGACCAUCCUCCUGGAUCUCAUCGGCAACCCCCUGGCCUGGAGGCCGCCCGCCCGCCCGCCGUCAGUGCGGGGCCUGCGGCACCACUUCCUCGUGCUCCUCCUUAACAUCCA
rnacentral:rRNA from 1 species